CACUUCCCCUUUCUCUCUCUCUCUGCUUCUCUCAGUCUUUUCUUUCUCACUCUCUCCCUUUCUCUUUCUCCUUUUCUCUCCUCAACUUUCUCUUUUCUCUUGCUCUCUUUUUCCCUCUUUCUCCCUCCCUCCCUCACAAUUUUCUUUCACUCUUUCACUCUUUCCCUUUUUGCCUUUGCUCUCUUUUUCCCAUGCUCUUCCUCUUUUCCCUUUCUCUCCCUCUCACUUGCUUUCUUGCUCUCUCUCACCAUCUAGCUCCUUCUCGCUCCUUCUUUCUCUCUGGCUUCCUUCCUUUCUUUCUUUCUCUUUCUUUUCUCUUUCUCGCUCUUUAUUUCUUCCUUUCUCGCUCUUCUCUUCCUCCCUCUUUCUCUCUUUUUUCUCUCUCCCUCUGUCCCCCUCUCUCUUCCCCCUCCCUCUUUUCCUCAGUGCCUCUCCCUCCUUCUGCCCUUUUCUCUCGCAUGCCCUUUCUUUCUCUCCUCUCUCUCACUCUUCCUUUCUUGCUCUCUUUCCCUCCUUCUCUCCUCCUUUCUCGCUUGCUCUCUCUUGCUCUGCCUCGCUCUGUCUUUCUCUGCCUAAGCCAAAGCCUAAUCUCAGGUGGGGCCCAAACCUCAGCCCACCAGGCCCAUUUGUGGCCUGAAGCACCGAGUUGUGCUGGGAGCAAUGGUGGUGCAGCCCCGCAUUUCCCGUGGCCUGGCCCUGGCAGCCCCACCGCCCGCGGGGCUCGACGCUUUCUCUCUCCCCUAGCCCUAGCCCUAGCCCCAGCCCUAGGCCUAGGCCUAAACCGCAGUGCUUCUCCCUGCUGCAGGGGUCCCCGAGCAGAGGUGCCGCUCGCUCGCUCGCCUGGAGGCCGCCAAGGAGGCGGCGGGCGCUGCUGCCCGGGAGCUGGGCUGCCGCCGCAGCCUGACAGGCAGCGCUGUGGCCACGGCGCCGUCUGCUGCCCCGGGCUGGGAAGGUGCCGCUGGCCUGCGAGCUCCUGCAGCCGCUCCUGUUUCUCCAGGCUCCUCCGCCUCGCGCAGCUGCUUCGCCCGACAGCGAGUUCGCAAGGUUGGCAAUGGCUGCAAGAAGCAACAGGUUGCUUUGAACUCCUCCCCGUGCUGCCUUCUCUCCUGGUCUCUUCAUCUCUCUCUCUCUCUCUCUCGCUCUCCUCCCUUCCCCCUUUCUGCCCUUCUCUCUCGCUCUUUCUCUGUCCUCUCGCUGUCUUAUUUCCUCUCUUGCUCUCUCCCAUUCUCUCCUCACUCUUUCCCUCCCUCUCCUUCUCCCUCCUUCUCCUGCUCUUUCUCGUCCUUCUCUCUUCCUUCCAUCAUUGUCUUGCUUUCUUUCCCUUUCUCUUCUCUUGUGCUCUCUCCCUUUCUCUCAGUUGUUCUCUCUCUGCUUCUCUGCCUCCUUCU
rnacentral:lncRNA from 1 species